rnacentral:rRNA from 1 species
GACGAACGCUGGCGGCGUGCUUAACACAUGCAAGUCGAACGGAAAGGCCCUGCUUUUGUGGGGUGCUCGAGUGGCGAACGGGUGAGUAACACGUGAGUAACCUGCCCUUGACUUUGGGAUAACUUCAGGAAACUGGGGCUAAUACCGGAUAGGAGCUCCUGCUGCAUGGUGGGGGUUGGAAAGUUUCGGCGGUUGGGGAUGGACUCGCGGCCUAUCAGCUUGUUGGUGGGGUAGUGGCUUACCAAGGCUUUGCCGGGUAGCCGGCCUGAGAGGGUGACCGGCCACCUUGGGCCUGGGCUGCGGCCCAGACUCCUCCGGGAGGCAGCAGUGGGGAAUAUUGCACAAUGGGCGGAAGCCUGAUGCAGCAACGCCGCGUGCGGGAUGACGGCCUUCGGGUUGUAAACCGCUUUCGCCUGUGCCGAAGCGUGAGUGACGGUAAUGGGUAAAGAAGCCCCGGCUAACUACGUG